UACGGGGGGAGCAAGCGUUGUUCGGAUUUACUGGGCGUAAAGGGCGCGUAGGCGGCCAGCACAAGUCAGUUGUGAAAUCUCCGGGCUUAACUCGGAAAGGUCAACUGAUACUGGUCGACUCGAAGGCAGGAGAGGGUAGUGGAAUUCCCGGUGUAGUGGUGAAAUGCGUAGAUAUCGGGAGGAACACCAGUGGCGAAGGCGACUACCUGGCCUGUUCUUGACGCUGAGGCGCGAAAGCUAGGGGAGCAAACGGG
rnacentral:rRNA from 1 species